GAUAAUUCGACCCUGAAAUUUUAUUUGUCCAAUCAGCAUCCAUACCCAUCAGCCACCAUGUGUCCUCCCCAUCACUUACACCUGCAACCUCCACAAUUAUAGUCUCCAAUCUGCACUCUUCUAUCUAUUAGAAACAUACUUCACUCAUUUUGAAAAUUUUCAUCGGCUCCCCAAAAUCAUUUCGACAGAAUCCAACGUACAAGCUUCGUGGAUCGUGAGGACUAGCACCGCUAUUCCGAUUCAGAGAUAAGAUUAAACGACAGGCAUUACCUAAUCAGGCACUAACCAGAGGCGUUAUAAAGGUGCUCGACGGGAUGUGUUCCGGAGCAUAGUUUAUGAUAGGCCUGUCUGGAUUAAUUUUCGAGGUUUUAUUUUACUUGGCUGGGUUACGCCCUCAGUUCAAGUCAGCGGGAGACAGAGAUCCGUCGGUGGCUAAAUGGUCCGGGAUCACAGCGAGUAACAGAAUGGAGUGUGCAAACGCACGCAAAAUAAUUAUGUAUAUUAUGAAAUGUUUUAACAUGCUUAGAAGUUAUUUCACUUUAAAACCUUCUAAGUCAUGUCAGUAUGAUCGGAUAAACUGCUUUUACAGAUUGUGAAAUGUUUUAAAGUUGCAGCCCAUUAAGUACAUUAGUACUUAGCCCAAAUAUUUUCAAAUGUUUUUCAGGUUAACGGCUGGUGAUGACGGGGCAGAGUUGAGGCUAGAGUUCAACUCCUUAUUUCGACUUCCGCUGUAAAACUAGCCAGUAUCUGUCUUUUGUUCCCUUGACUUAAGACUUUUAUGAGAUGUCUCUAAACAAUAUCUUUUGAUGAGCCUAGACUCUUGAAUUUCAAGUAUGUUGGUUAAUGUAUGUUGGUUAUCCGAAGCGUGAAACUAAACUUGUGAUCCUAAAGUUAGUUGUUUGUUGAUUGAUUGUA